rnacentral:tRNA from 1 species
CUUUAGCUCAGUGGUGAGAGCGAGCGACUCAUAAUCGCCAGGUCGCUGGUUCAAAUCCAGCAAG